GACGGAGGAUGCAAGCGUUAUCCGGAAUGAUUGGGCGUAAAGCGUCCGCAGGUGGCAGUUCAAGUCUGCUGUCAAAGACCGGGGCUUAACUUCGGAAAGGCAGUGGAAACUGAACAGCUAGAGUAUGGUAGGGGCAGAGGGAAUUCCUGGUGUAGCGGUGAAAUGCGUAGAGAUCAGGAAGAACAUCGGUGGCGAAGGCGCUCUGCUGGACCAUAACUGACCCUCAGGGACGAAAGCUAGGGGAGCGAAUGGG
rnacentral:rRNA from 1 species